rnacentral:sRNA from 2 species
GUCUCGGGGAUUCAACUCUUAUAGGUGGAAAUUUGUCGAGCGGACGAUUGAAAGGAUCUCUCUCCGCCCAAGAUUUAAACCGGAUGACUUAGCUUUCGACCAUUGAAACACCGUUGCUCGGCCAUCAACAAGUCAACUUCACUACCCCGCCAGACUCCCCCGCAUUUAUGGCUAGAAUGGCUGUCGGGACUAAAUUACUGCACCAAAAGCAGAAGUAUUAUCGUGUAUUUUAAAAGUAUUUAUUGAUUUGAAUCUGUGAUGAUCUUGUAUUCAGAUCCUUCAUAGUGAAACACUGAAAAUCUAUAGUUAACUACAAGUAGACUAGUUAUUAUUAUAAACUACAGCAAUAUUUAGCACAUUUAGGAC